rnacentral:rRNA from 1 species
GACGAACGCUGGCGGCGUGCCUAAUACAUGCAAGUAGAACGCUGAAGAGAGGAGCUUGCUCUUCUUGGAUGAGUUGCGAACGGGUGAGUAACGCGUAGGUAACCUGCCUUGUAGCGGGGGAUAACUAUUGGAAACGAUAGCUAAUACCGCAUAACAAUGGAUGACACAUGUCAUUUAUUUGAAAGGGGCAAUUGCUCCACUACAAGAUGGACCUGCGUUGUAUUAGCUAGUAGGUGAGGUAACGGCUCACCUAGGCGACGAUACAUAGCCGACCUGAGAGGGUGAUCGGCCACACUGGGACUGAGACCCGGCCCAGACUCCUACGGGAGGCAGCAGUAGGGAAUCUUCGGCAAUGGGGGCAACCCUGACCGAGCAACGCCGCGGGAGUGAAGAAGGUUUUCGGAUCGUAAAGCUCGGUUGUAAGUCAAGAACGAGUGUGAGAGUGGAAAGUUCACACUGUGACGGUAGCUGACCAGAAAGGGACGGCUAACUACGUG